rnacentral:rRNA from 1 species
UCUGGUCUUGGGACACUGUCAGGUGGGCAGUUUGACUGGGGCGGUCGCCUCCCAAAAGGUAACGGAGGCGCUCAAAGGUUCUCUCAGUACGGUCGGAAAUCGUACGUAGAGUGUAAAGGCAAAAGAGGGCUUGAUUGCAAGACAUACAGGUCGAGCAAGGAUGAAAAUCGGACUUAGUGAUCCGGUGGUUCUGCGUGGAAGGGCCAUCGCUCAACGGAUAAAAGCUACCCUGGGGAUAACAGGCUUAUCUCCCCCAAGAGUCCACAUCGACGGGGAGG